GCAUAUCAAUAAGCGGAGGAAAAGAAACUAACAAGGAUUCCCCUAGUAACUGCGAGUGAAGCGGGAAAAGCUCAAAUUUAAAAUCUGGUGGUCUUUGGCCAUCCGAGUUGUAAUCUAGAGAAGUGUUAUCCGCGCUGGACCGUGUACAAGUCCCCUGGAAUGGGGCGUCAUAGAGGGUGAGAAUCCCGUCUUUGACACGGACUACCAGGGCUUUGUGAUGCACUCUCAAAGAGUCGAGUUGUUYGGGAAUGCAGCUCAAAAUGGGUGGUAAAUUCCAUCUAAAGCUAAAUAUUGGCGAGAGACCGAUAGCGAACAAGUACCGUGAGGGAAAGAUGAAAAGAACUUUGGAAAGAGAGUUAAACAGUACGUGAAAUUGUUGAAAGGGAAACGCUUGAAGUCAGUCGCGUCUGCCAGGGAUCAACCUUACUUUUGUGAGGCGUACUUCCUGGUUGAUGGGUCAGCAUCAGUUUUGGUCGCUGGAUAAAGGUCAGAGAAAUGUGGCACCUUCGGGUGUGUUAUAGUCUUUGAUCAGAUACAGUGGCUGGGACUGAGGAACUCAGCGCCGCAAGGCUGUCUUAGGAUGCUGGCAAAAUGGCUUUAAUCGACCCGUCUUGAAACACGGACC
rnacentral:rRNA from 1 species